GAAAGCUAAAACUCUCUUAAACUAUUUUAUUUAUAUUAAUAUAAAUGGUAAAUAGUCACUUUUGUCUCUCAAUGUGUAAUUCGUUGACAAAUACGUCCUCAAAAGAUGAAAAUACAAAAUAUAUCUAACCGUUAACUUCCAUCUGAUACCGUUAAUAAAAUAGCCUACGUAAAAUGAUGACCAGUACGGAAUGUCAGCAUAGAGACAUAUUUGUCAUAAUAUUUUUUUGACUUUUCGUCUUCUCACUCCGCUACAAAUGCGUUCCUGAAAGAUGAAAAUACAAAAUUUAUAGUCUCUAAAAGUAUAAAAAGUGCAGCAAACAUAUCCGGACAUUAAUAAUAGAUCAUUAUUAUUAUUAUUAUUAUGUGUUUAUAGUUUAAUGUUCUUAUUCGUUUAAUACUUAUGCAAUAUAUUUUUUAAAUUAUCUUUUAAUAUAUAUUUUUAUUAUUUUGAUUUCCUUGUCAAACCUUAAUUUUUGCUGUUAAAAAAAAACUAUGUUAUAAUUUGAUCAAAUUUCUCACUUUAAUCUUUAAAAUGAUUUCAUAUUUCAAUUUCAACUUAAGUAUCCAUAUAUUUAGAUUCAAAAUAAUAUGUCAAGAAUUUUGAAUAAAAAAAAUACAAUCGAUCGUAGGACUAAAUUUAUUUAUUUAUUUUUAAAAAAAUUUAAUCAACUAGUUUUAUAUAUAUAUAUAUAUAUAUACCUUAAAUAUGAAAGAAUUCCUUGCAUGUACUUCUAAUUGAGAAUAAUUACUUACAAAUAAAAAACACAAAUAAAUUUAAAUAAAAAAUACAAUAAUGUUGAAACUAAUAAAGAGGUUAACUUCAAAACAAAAUAAAAGAAGACAAAUACAAAAAUUUAUUUUUUACUUUGGAACAUAGAGUUGGAUUUCUAUCUAAUUUAGGAAAUGAAGGGACCUUCUAUUCUAUUUGGCAAGUACUUAAUAAAUAUUAAUAAUUAAUUACAAAAAAUUUUAAGAAAUAAAAGGUUUUCCUUUUUUUAAAAUAAUAACUUAAUUUUUUUAUAUCAUAAAAGUAAAAGAAAUUUAUUUUAUUUUAGAGUUGAUUAAUUAAAAAAACUAAUUAAUAAUUUAAUAAACGAAUAAAUAGAUAAUCAAAAGUAGCCUAGUAUAAAUGUCUCUUAAACUCAUUUUAGAUGGAAGUUAACAAGCAAUGCAAAUGCACGGGUAACUUAGUUCUGAAUAAACGCGAAAGCAACACUUAUAGGGUGGUGACGAAUUCAAGGGUAGAUAAGAAAAAGAAAAAAUGUGUAGCCUCGAGAAGCGUGGCAACGCCUGGGUACUAACCCUCGACGGCGACGACGGCGACGUCCAACACCGCCUCAACCCAACCCUAAUUGAUUCCCUCCUCUCAACGCUUAACCGUCUCGCAUCUCAAGCCACUCCCGGCUCCGUCCUCGUCACCACCGCCACCGGCAAAUUCUUCUCCAAC
rnacentral:lncRNA from 1 species